rnacentral:sRNA from 1 species
GUCGUGCGCGUGCGGUGCGAAUUCAUGCGUGAUGAAGGUCGCGCUCAGGCACUCCAU